rnacentral:lncRNA from 1 species
CCCAUUCUGUAGUUGUCUUUUCACUUUGGUGACUGUUUCCUUUAUUGUCCAGAAGCUUUUUACUUGAUGUGAUGCCAUUUGUUUAUUUUUGCUUUGCUUGCCUGUGCUUGUGGGGAUUGUUCAAGAAAUUUUUGCCCAGACCAGUGUCAUGUAGACUUUCCCUGAUAUUUUCUUGUAGUAGUUUCAUAGGUUGAGGUAUUAGAUUUAAG